rnacentral:rRNA from 1 species
CAGUAGCCACGGUAAUACGAAGGGGGCUAGCGUUGUUCGGAUUUACUGGGCGUAAAGCGCACGUAGGCGGACUUUUAAGUCAGGGGUGAAAUCCCGGGGCUCAACCCCGAAACUGCCUUUGAUACUGGGAGUCUUGAGUUCGAGAGAGGUGAGUGGAAUUGCGAGUGUAGAGGUGAAAUUCGUAGAUAUUCGCAGGAACACCAGUGGCGAAGGCGGCUCACUGGCUCGAUACUGACGCUGAGGUGCGAAAGCGUGGGGAGCAAACAGGAUUAGAUACCCGCGUAGUCCCUGUCUCUUAUAC